rnacentral:lncRNA from 1 species
GAUUUAUAUUGACAGAAAUUUGCAGCUACUCCUAAUCACAUGAUGCUCAGGACAAUAAAUGUUUUAUGCGAGCGCAUUACUGAUAAUUUAUUGGGCAGCGAGGAAGAGGUAAAACAAUAGGACGGGGGUCUGAGGAGUUGUAAAUGGAAAAGGAAAGAAAUAAAGGCUAGAUUCAUUUACCAACCAUCCAAUUAUUUCAGGAGGCUGUUAGCAAAGAUAACUUUGAUCAGGCGGCUAAUACGUUGCUGGCGUUCCAGCUAGAACAUUUGGGGCCAUGUUGCUAGAAGAGGGUUGGAAUGCGUCCUUCGCAGAGAAGACAGCAUACAAAGAGGCAAAGCAUUUGGUCAGUUCCCCUGUCUCUCUCUGUAACUGGUAUUUUUGCCCUUCCCUCUAGGACUACUGUUUUUUGGCCCACUUUCCAGGGCCAUAGAGAGAGCAGCCAGCUGAAGUACCCAAGCCUCGGUUAAGGCAUUACUCCAUAUUUAUUCCUCCAGAACACCCCUAUGUGGUAUAUGUGACUGAGGGUAAAUUCAACGGCUGAGUGGAGAUUUGAACACAGUCCUCACUGAUGCACUGGAUCUCCAGAGGUUUGUACACAUGUUUCACCAAAUAUAGUCACAAGCUCUCUCGACACAUGAGCAACUGUUUGUGUGAGUUUGUUGAUUUGCCCCUUUAAGCCACUGUGUACACAGACUGUACACUCAUUGAGAGUUACAUGAGAAUAACAGUAUCAUAUGAUAUGAGGAUGUAGCUCAAGAAUUAGUGUGCACUCUUUGACUACAGUGUGUGAACUGUUGUAAUAUACAGUUACUUACUCACACUUGCAAGAACAAAAGGGUUAACCUGAGCCCUGAGCUCAAGUUGCCAGUGAGUGUGACUUAGCAGGCAUCCAGCAGCCUUUGCUUCCCUUGCUUUCUUUUCUCUCUCGGUUCCUGGAAUGAGCAAAGAAGGAGCCAUAUGGUUUGGCUCCCAGCUCAGCAAAUGCUGCACGCAAAUGGAAAUUCUCUCUAAAAGAAGAUUUCUACAGCCUUCAUCUUUGCUAACCCAAAGAUCGCAUGAUCCUUCUAUAAGGAAACCAAAUUAUUUUCUUUUAAAAAGUCAUUUGUAAUAUUUUUUCUACUUUAUUUUACUGCCAAUUGUUUGCUGUAACUUCUGAAACUCUGGAGUAAAAUUUUCAUUUAUUUGUCAAGCUAAGCAUCUCUGAUUUAUUCUUGCCUAAGUAUUAUCAUAGGGCAUGUUUGUUUAAAGGUGGAUGGGGGCAGAUGCAAAUCUAACCACAUGUUAAUGUGCUUGGAGCAAUUGCCAUUGUGCUAACUCUUGCUAUGAGGGAGUAAGAAUCUCUCUUCCAAACAUCUCUCUCCAACAUGAACACCCCUUAACAAAGCAUGAACAAUGGAGUGUUGUUGUGCUUGUGUCUUACAGGAAUGCAAUAAGUAAAAAGCGGAAAAGAAGAGUUUCUUUCUUACAUUCAAUGUACUUUGGGAUGCUCGCAUGAAGAGCACAGCAGCAGCAGCAGCAGCAGCUGACACUUAUACCUAACACUGUAAGUACCCGUUUACUCAAUGGGGUCCUCUCUAGACAUUGGAUGCCACAGAAAUGUGACCAAGGAGUGUUACAUAAAACCAGUCAUCUGGAGUUCAUAGCCCAGGUCUUUUUGGUCUGGGAUGACUCAGGGUUGCUAUUAUUAUUAUUUUUUAAAAAAACAACACAAAAUUAUGUGAAAGAUCACCUUGGAUGAUGUCAGCUUGUCUUUGAUUUCUUCUUCAGCAGCAGGAAUUAAGCAGAAGAGAAAAAUACAUUGCUUGCCACCAAUCUGUCAGUCAAUUUUGAACGCUGCCUUUGUGUUAUUUAUUUCCUCC